ACAAGUUACCAAAUUUUAAGGUUACGAUUUAAUACUUGGUCACAAAUAACCAAAUAAUUGGCCACAUACACCAGAUGGCAUGUCACACACCACGUCGCCAACAGUACAACUACGGCCACCGCCACUUGUUACCACCAUUGCUAGCAUCACACCACAAUCGCCAUUAGCAUCGCCAUUACAAUCGUCAGCACCACCAUCAACGCAUUAACCUACACCACCACAAAAAAAUCGUCACCAGAUCACAUUGCCCUCACUAUCACCGCCAACAGCUCUACCACCACAAACAUCGUCACUGCAUUUUGCUCUAACAAGCCACCCACCACCUCCACCUCCAAUCAACGAUCGUACUACCGCUGUCUGCUAAAAUCACCAUCUCUCCCAAUAUUA
rnacentral:lncRNA from 1 species